UACGAAGGGUGCAAACGUUGCUCGGAAUUAUUGGGGCGUAAAGCGCACGUAGGCGGCUUGGCAAGUCGGAUGUGAAAUCCCUCGGCUCAACCAAGGAAGUGCAUCCGAAACUGCCGAGCUUGAGUACUUAAGAGGAUCGCGGAAUUCCCGGUGUAGAGGUGAAAUUCGUAGAUAUCGGGAGGAACACCAGUGGCGAAGGCGGCGAUCUGGGAAGAUACUGACGCUGAGGUGCGAAAGCGUGGGGAGCAAACAGG
rnacentral:rRNA from 1 species